rnacentral:rRNA from 1 species
AACGAACGCUGGCGGCAUGCCUAACACAUGCAAGUCGAACGAGACCUUCGAGUCUAGUGGCGCACGGGUGCGUAACGCGUGGGAACCUGCCCUUAGGUUCGGAAUAACUCCCCGAAAGGGGUGCUAAUACCGGAUAAUGUCUUCGGACCAAAGAUUUAUCGCCUUUGGAUGGGCCCGCGUUGGAUUAGCUAGUUGGUAGGGUAAAAGCCUACCAAGGCGACGACCCAUAGCUGGUCUGAGAGGAUGAUCAGCCACACUGGGACUGAGACACGGCCCAGACUCCUACGGGAGGCAGCAGUGGGGAAUAUUGGACAAUGGGCGAAAGCCUGAUCCAGCAAUGCCGCGUGAGUGAUGAAGGCCUUAGGGUUGUAAAGCUCUUUUACCCGGGAUGAUAAUGACAGUACCGGGAGAAUAAGCUCCGGCUAACUCCGUG